rnacentral:misc_RNA from 1 species
GUGGUGUGGCCAUGUGUUGGGGCGGGCUCCUGGACACCCGGAGCUCUCUCUUAUUUGUCACAAAAACUUCACACUGCUGUCCUUUAGAUCUGCCAAUAUGAUUAAUUCUGAAGAGGAAGUGUCUAUGUUAGGUGCAAGCAUGCAGGGCCAAAGCUCUUGUAGCAGCAGUGCUGAGAGAACCUCCCUCAAGAUGGAAGAUGAGGACAGUAGAGACACUUCACAGGUGUUCGGUUCAAAGAGGAUGUUGAGUAUAGAUGAUCCAGACUAUAUGCGUCCACCAGAUGUCAAGCGAAUGAGAGAAAUGCACAAAAGAGCCGAGGAUGAACUAAGUGAACGUGUGGUGAAGGUGGUUGACAAAGAAUUUCAUUAUGCCAUGACUGAGAAGCAAGCAGAGAUGGAAGAGAUUGAUAAUCGAAUUUUACGGUUGCAGCAAUGUCUACACACCCUCCGCUACUGUGUCUCCUUGAACUAUUAUGCUGUUAAUAAGACUAAAGAUGUUGAUAGCAAGCAGAAACAGAUGCUCCAUCCAGCAGUCCGGAAACACUUGGGGAAAGCACCAGUUAAGUCUGCUGGCAGUAGUUCCCCCUUCCCAAAUUCACCUGUAUACCAGAGCUUUGGCAGAAAUAAACUACCUCAUGGAGAAUAUAAAGAAAGUGUUGAGAAAGGAUCAGUAAAGGAAGAACAUGCAGAUAUGGUGGAAAGUGUUGAAAGAUUUUCAAGUGAAACUGAUAGAAUUAGCAGUGAUCAUAGAGAAAUUCAGGAGGCUACAGAUGGCAAAUGUAAAGACUUGUCAGACACCAUUGAUGAAGAUACUAAUAAAAAUUUUAGGUCUCCACGACCUCCAAGCCCAAAAUACCUUCCCCCUAAGCCACCAGACAACCCCCACACCAUAUUCCAGGGACGACACCAACGGUUCCAGAGCAAAAGAAGAGUGGUAGUGGGCAAUACUUACCAGUACUUAACUUCACAUGGUGAUGAAGAUGUCGGCGAUGCUCUGAGAUACAAGUGGCAAGUCUAUGUGAGGGCACCAAUGGAGGGUGAAGAUGUUUCUACCUUUAUCUCUGCAGUCACUUUUAUAUUGGAUCAGAGCUAUGCUCCACACCAUAUUAUCACACUCAAACAUCCUCCAUUUGUGUUGACUCGACGAGGCUGGGGGGAGUUCAAGAUUCAGAUAGUGUUGAGGUUUACAGACACUCGUAACAAGCAGGUGAAGCUCCUCCACCCACUGGUGCUGAGUCGACAGGAUGACCCACUUGCUCUGACAGGAUUAUGGAGGUUAGGUCAGGAGAAAUGGUAUGACCUCUGGGUAUAUGAACCAGGCUCAGAGAGGACAACCAAUAUCAGUGGAUCACAACAGACAACACAACUGAUUAUGAAAGAAGAGAAUUGUCCAGCUACUCUCGUCAAGGAACUGGAAACUGGUGUGGUGUCAUCUCAAAUUGAAGAAAAUAUCACAAUUGUUCACAGUGUUGAACAGAAAAGUACUGUUGAUUGUGUUAAACAGACAACUCCUGUUAAACAGGAAAGUGUAAAGAAAGUUAUAAUAAGUUCUGACAAAAACACUAUCAUUAAAAAUGUGAGAAAAAAGAUGGUUGAAUCAGUGGCUUCAUGUAAACAACUUUCCCUUAUUGGUACUCAGUGUGAAAAUGAAGUUAGUGGUGAUGUAAUUAUAAACAAAGUAUAUGAUGAAAAGCGUGAAAAAAUUAGUACAGUAGAGUCUAAAAUUAAACUUGAGGGAACAGAAGAAAAUAAGGCACAAGGACUUAAACCACCAAAAGACCAUCUGGGUGACAAAAUGACCAAUGUCAAUGGUGCUCAAGGCAAAGUUUGUAAAAUACACGUGCGACAGCCAGAUGGACGUCUGGUGCCAUACUACAUCCCAGCUCAUAUGUACUCUUUAGCUCUCAAGAUUGCUCAGGGUGGUGCAAAUAAGCAGGAAAAUGAAGUGGAUGCUCUUGAUAGCAAGCUAGUUAAUCAGCAUGGAAUAGUUAGCAAGCAUAAUGUUAGUCAAAAGAUAAUUAAGCUGCAUGUCCCAGAAAAACAGCAGAAAGGAGACACUGAAGGUUUUACCAUAAAACAAGAGCCAAGUGAAAUAUUGACUCAUCAAAGGGAAGGAUCAAAGGUAGUAACAUUAGAAGUAAAGGCUGAGGUUGAGCAGGACAAUACCAAAGUUUCUGGUACACCAAUAAAAAUUCUAAAUUUUUCUCCGAAUAAAAAUGCAGUGAAAGAUAAUGGGGGAUCAAUGAAUAUGGCUCCAUCAACCAGCGGUAUUCAGGGUGUGUCGAGACCAUCCCAUGUUACUCAGGGAAAUCAGACCAUAGCACGAUUAUCGACCAGCAGACUUUCUCAAAGACCUUUACAACAGCUUCUGGUGAAGGCUGCCAUUCAAGAUAAGAAACACACUUUAGUUAAACAACUUUUGAAUAAAAAGGGGUUGAAGGGUGGUGCUGGUGACACACUGCACAUGUUGCAGGGUCAAGUAACAUAUACUCAAACACCUGUAGGUUUAAAGUCAAACAUACAGGUAAUGCCACUGAAAAUAGUUCAGGAAGUAAAAAAUAGUAGCUCCACAUCAACCAGAUUUAUUCAGAGACCAUUAUCAACUGCAAACAUUAAAUUCAUAACCAAUAAUGGGCAAUUGAUAUCAGCAGGUAAACUCGCCAAAGGGAAAACUUGUUCAGAUUCCAGUCAAGUAACUUCUAGUAUGAACAUGGCCACUAGUUCAGCCCCAACAGUAAGCAGUUGCAUCCUUACAACAUCAAAUAAUACUUCAGCAUUGACCACAGUGCAGGGAAGCCAACAAGUUGCCGGGUCAAGUGGUCUACAGCUAGUAACAAGUAAAGGAAAGAUGACUCCAACACAGCAUCCUCCAAUGAUAGUUUGCAGUAACGCAGGAGACACGGGGACAGUACUGCAAAUACCACCCUUUGUGGUCAGAGGUAUGGGAAAUGAUGGUGCAUUAAAACCUACAUCAAACUCAGUGAAGUGCACACCCAGUAAUGCAAAAAAUAUGACUGCAGGAGUGUCACUUCUACGAGGUAUCACCAUGGCAACAUCUCCAACAGUAUGUAGCUUGCUCAAACCCCUCACCAAUACCACAAAUUCUGGGGUCACUUCUACCACUUCUGUUCUCAAUAAUGUGCAAACGAAGGUUACAAGUAACUCGCCUGUUAUUAAGAGCCUUUCUUUUAAUGCAUCUUCUGACAAGACAAACAUAGCAUUUGUAAAAAUGGAGACAGUGUCAGAAGACAGAAACAAGGAGGAGGAUGGAAGUACUUCUCAGGAAUGGGAGGAGCGGGUCAGACAGCUGGAAGCAGUGUGCAAAAGAUGUACUUCUACUGACAAGUGUGUGUAUGUUUGGGUGAGAGCAUUGCCACUGGAUCAACACCAAUAUAAAUAUUCCCAAGUGUUACCCUUUUGUGCCAAAUCUCGCGAAGAAUUUCUGUGCUGGCCAUUGGGGAAGCAGCGUGCUGCAGAAUUCCAGAGAGCACGAGAGGUUAAACAUCACCUUGAUCAGUACCAAGUUAGUAGCAGAGAAUCGUGGAGUGUGGGCAGGAUAGUAGCUUGGGCUAGGCGUCAUGCCCACACACCUACACCACCCAGAGCUCCACUACGCACAGAUCAAUUUUCUUUAUCUGUGAGCACAAAACCUGAGAAAACCUUAUCAUACUUGGGCAAUCUAGAAAAAUUGGUGCAAGAUGUUGAUAACUGUAUGCCAGUGAAUGGCCAGGUUGGACUGCAAGAAGUUGAUGUUGUCACUAUUGAUGAUGAUGUGAAGACUUCAUGUGGACACAAGUUAUCAGCUUGAUGGGAUGUGAUAAGGCAUUAUAAGUCAUAAUAAUGCUUAAUAAGAGUGGUGAUGGACCAACAAAGAAUGGUAGAGACUUGAACUUGUUACCCUAGACCAUCUUUACCAUCCUCAACACAGUUUCUCCUCAGAAAUGUCCACUGGAAUUUGUGCCUUGGGAAGACUCAGAAAUGGUUAGUGGGUGUGAAUGGGUUGGGCAGCAUACCUCACAGCUCAGGCUCAAUCUCUCAACUGAAGAAGUUCUCACAGG